UUAAUAAAUGAAUGUUUAUUAUGAGCAAAAAAAGUCACAGUGCAUACAUAAAUGUAGAUGAUAGACAAAUUAUUUACAGGUAAAACAAAAAGGAUAAAAUACAGGAGUCACUCACUUAGGUUUUCAAAGUACAACUUCUGCCCAGGGGGUCCCUGGCAAGGAAGGAUGAUGGUGACUCACUCAAAAUUAGAUCUUUGGCCGCAAGCAAGUACACCAACACCCUUCCAAAUCAUUGGAUCUAUACCCUGUGGAUUAUCAAGUCUUGCCCAGGGGUGGAGUUAAGGCGUACCUACACAAAUAAGCGACCACCUCCUUUGUUCCAGACCAACAUCAAUCCAAAUGGAAACAUUUGGCUCUAGCUUCUCUUAUGUACCCAACCACAGAAAUAAUAAUUGCCUUUAUGAAUUUAUUAUUUUCCCAUUCUAUACAUAUGUUGCAUGCCGGCCUUGCGAUCCGAUAGGAUGGACACCACAAUUCCUUCCCCUAUGGUUGUUAGGCCACUCAUGUCUGGACUUGUUUAGAAGUGGAGCUUGCCACAUUCCAAAUAUAACAAAGAUGAGGCUUAACUAUUAUUCUGCAGGGUAAAUAUGAAUGUUUUUGUCUUUCCCUUGGAUAUGAUACUGGAACAAGGCUAAUGGCAUUAACAUAUCAAAAUAGAUUGACUCAUCCCUUACAAGGUACACGCCAAAUGGAUGAAGAGACAUUCAGACUUUUUCCAAGUGUAGAACCUCACACCUUGCAGAGCCUUGAUUACUUCACAUCCAUAUGGUAAAAUCCUUUUCACAUUGCUACACAUUCAUACUACCACUUCUGCCAUUUGACCUCUGUGGGGGACCCAGCUUCAAAAUAUGUAACCCCUUUUGACCUCAACAAUAACAUCACUUCCAAGUACUACACAAAUUACAUUAAAGGACAAUAUUCCAUAGUGUAAUAAUAAAUUAUGCACCCUUGCCGUGACAGUUUUCUCUUCUAAUUUCAUGUGUGAUCUUCACGUAAGCUGCUACCUUGAUGAUGCCUACUUGAGUAGGUAGCAGGAUAGCAUCCAUAAGUGCACUCACAGGUUCAGAGUUCUUGAUUGGAGUUCCUGCUGAGGUGAGAAAAUCACAAGCCCGCAAUAUAGGCCAAAAAUCAUGGGCUAUACCAAUAUUAGCUGUUUUACCAGAGGCCAGUUUGCACGCUUCAGUGAGUGCCUUCAGCUCAGCCUCCUGUGCAGAGCAGUGAGGGGCGAGUGGUUCAGCUUUUAUUACCUCGUAUGCAGAGACUACAGCAUAUCCGGUGUGGAAAUUGCCCUUCUCAUCAGCAUAUCUGGAGCCAUCUACAAAAAACUCAAAGUCUGGAUUAGACAAUGGAGACUCUCUUGUGCCAUUAAUGCUGCACAAUCAUGGGGUACCUGGGCUUCAGCUAACUCUUCUGGUGACAGGGAAUUUACAAAAAGAUCAGAAUCACCACGCCCCUCUUUGAAAUCCAGGGGAAGCAAUGUAGAUGGAUUGAACACCAUACACCUUUUCAAAGUUACGUUUGGAGGCAUGAGGAGAGAACACUGCAUCCUGAGAUGCCUUACAGUCUGUAUGUAUUUCGGCUAAACUUGUGGUAGAAUGCUGUUAAUGUCAUGCAUGUUUUAAAUGAUGACAGGAUUGUCUAAGACAAUGUCGGUGUCUUUGUCCAGUAGGGCAGUAACAGCAGCUACUACUCUUAAACAGGAAUGGGCACCUCUGGCAACAGGGUCCAACCUGGUGGAGUAAUAGGCAAUGGGUCUGUUUCCCACCAUGGUCCUGUGUAAGGACAGCUGUUGCGUAACCAGCAUGCUUAGUGCAAAACAGGGUGAAGGGUCUUCUGUAAUCUGGGGGACCCAGCGCUGGAGUUGAGGUGACCAGCAACUUAAGAGUGUUGUAGCGGAUGGCACUGGGCUGUCCUGAAAAUUACAUGUGUAUAACUGCAUUCGUGUAAACUGCUGGUUUUGUAUGUGUUUAAAUAAAGUGUAUUCGUCUGAUUGUUCGAUAGAAACAUUCGAAUAAACUAAGGGAAUGAAACAACCGAACAAUCAGACCUCCUCUGUGUGAAGUGUGCCUUCAAUUACCCGUUGCAACAAUGUUGCGAACGGGUUAUUAACAAGCUAUGCAGUAGGUCCUUUGUUCUCGGGUUGGCCGCCAUUCGGGAAACGAACACGUGGUGGCGGCCAUUUUAAAACUCCCGAACAGCGGUGUUUUGCCAUCGAGUGUCUGGAACCCAAAUCGGACACUCGACUAGUCGAAAACAGCUGAGACCUCCACAAGCCCGGUCCGUUCGGUUCCAAACUACCGAACGGCCCCUCGUUCGGUAGACAAACAACCGAACGAGGGGAUUCAUGCGAACCCUACCUGAUCUCUGUAGCCUUAGCCUUUAGUGUAAUUUAUUCCCUUAUAGUGGGACUGUUGUGGAUCAGAAAUGUUGAUCUUUGUUAUAUUCAGAGGAAGCCCAAAUUGUUGUUACAAGUGCACUUGGAGAAGCGAG